rnacentral:rRNA from 1 species
AAUAUCAAAGGUGAGCCAGUACAGGAUGGACCCGCGUCUGAUUAGCUAGUUGGUAAGGUAACGGCUUACCAAGGCGACGAUCAGUAGCCGACCUGAGAGGGUGAUCGGCCACAUUGGAACUGAGACACGGUCCAAACUCCUACGGGAGGCAGCAGUGGGGAAUAUUGCACAAUGGGCGAAAGCCUGAUGCAGCAACGCCGCGUGAGUGAUGAAGGCCUUCGGGUCGGAAAACUCUGUCCUCAAGGAAGAUAAUGACGGUACUUGAGGAGGAAGCCCCGGCUAACUACGUGCCAGCAGCCGCGGUAAUACGUAGGGGGCUAGCGUUAUCCGGAUUUACUGGGCGUAAAGGGUGCGUAGGCGGUCUUUCAAGUCAGGAGUGAAAGGCUACGGCUCAACCGUAGUAAGCUCUUGAAACUGGGAGACUUGAGUGCAGGAGAGGAGAGUGGAAUUCCUAGUGUAGCGGUGAAAUGCGUAGAUAUUAGGAGGAACACCAGUUGCGAAGGCGGCUCUCUGGACUGUAACUGACGCUGAGGCACGAAAGCGUGGGGAGCAAACAGGAUUAGAUACCCUGGUAGUCCACGCUGUAAACGAUGAGUACUAGGUGUCGGGGGUUACCCCC